AGGGUUGUGGCUCAGAGGUAGAGCGUUCGCUUUGCAUGUGAAACGCCCCGUUUUCGAUCCCAGGCAUCUCCA
rnacentral:tRNA from 1 species